rnacentral:rRNA from 1 species
UACGUAGGGGGCAAGCGUUGUCCGGAAUCAUUGGGCGUAAAGAGCGCGUAGGCGGCCCUGUAAGUCCGCUGUGAAAGUCAAGGGCUCAACCCUUGAAUGCCGGUGGAUACUGCAGGGCUAGAGUCCGGAAGAGGCGAGUGGAAUUCCUGGUGUAGCGGUGAAAUGCGCAGAUAUCAGGAGGAACACCGGUGGCGAAGGCGGAUCUCUGGGCCAUUACUGACGCUGAGGAGCGAAAGCGUGGGGAGCGAACAGG